ACAUGCCUACAACAUAGCGUUAAUGCACUCGAUCCCAUUAUAAAUCCAAAUUUAAGUGUGCUCAAGCUAGAGCAGUAAUGGGAUGGGUGACCGCUCAGGAAUUCCUAGUGUUUUACAUGCA
rnacentral:rRNA from 1 species